GCCUUCGUGGUAUAGUGGACAUCACACUCGGCGCGUAUUCGAGAGGUCCGUGGUUCGAGUCCCGACGAGGGCA
rfam:Stegodyphus mimosarum contig44849, whole genome shotgun sequence.